rnacentral:tRNA from 1 species
GCGUUGUUAGCUCAGCAGCAGAGCGAUUGCCUUCUGAGCAUCGGUCACUGGUUCGAAUCCUGUACAACGCGCCA